rnacentral:misc_RNA from 1 species
GAUGAAGAACGCAGCGAAAUGCGAUAAGUAAUGUGAAUUGCAGAAUUCAGUGAAUCAUCGAAUCUUUGAACGCACAUUGCGCCCCUUGGUAUUCCGAGGGGCAUGCCUGUUCGAGCGUCAUUUCAACCCUCAAGCACAGCUUGGUCUUGGGCUUCGCCGCUAACCCGGCGGGUCUUAAAAUCAGUGGCGGUGCCGUCGGGCCCUGAGCGCAGUAAUUUCUCUCGCUAUAGGGUCCCGGCGGAUGCUGGCCAGUAACCCCCAAUUUUCUAUGGUUGACCUCGGAUCAGGUAGGGAUACCCGCUGAACUUAAGCAUAUCAAUACGGAGGA